rnacentral:misc_RNA from 1 species
CCGUCAGUGACUGCAGCUGGAUCAUUUUCUGAUAUCCAUUAUACAAAAAAGAGCAUAUUUAUGUGCAUGUAUGAAUUGCACAGUAUGCAACCAAAAAUAUACAUAUAUGUUUUACAUGUAUGUGUUUCUAUAUGCCGUUUGACAUGGGAGAUGAGGGAUGCUAUACAUAGUUCUGUUAUUUUCUAUCAUGUAUGUGUGUUAGAGUGUCUGUGUUAAUAUACUUUUUAAUGCAUGCUCUACAUAAUAUACAGUAGUAAUAACACAGAGAAUACGUAUGGAAUGCGUAUCUCUCUAUAUAUAUUUAUGUAUAUAUGCUAUGUGUAUAUCAACCUCGCAUAUUUUUUCUCCCUGUUGACCACGGCUCCCACAACGUGUCGCGAUGGAUGACUUGGCUUCCUAUUUCGUUGAAAAACGCAGCAAAGUGCGAUAAGUGGUAUCAAUUGCAGAAUCAUUUCAUUGCCCAAUCUUUGAACGCAAACGGCGCAUGGGAGAAGCUCUCUCGAGCCAUCCCCGUGCAUGCCACAUUUCUCAGUGUCGAAUAUAAAAACAAAACGCACACCUAUUUUGUGUUGUUCAACGCACGCAAAAAAUCCCGCCACCUCUUCUCCUCGUGUGGUGCAUAUUCAUGUUUGUGAGUGUGCACAUAUGCGAUAUCUUUCAACUCUUUCUACUCGCACAAUGGUGUAUGUCACGCAUAUACGUGUGUGUAGUGAGUGAUAUGGAAGAGAAAUGGGAAAGGCAUAUGUAUAUAUGUAUAUACGUAAUGUAUAUGUGUGUGGAUUUGUGUGUUGAGCACAUAUAAGGAAAAAGGUUGCGUGUAUAUACAGAGAGUCUGUGGCGGUUGGGACAUGUGUAUAAAUAUAUAUGUAUAUGUGUGUGUUCCGCUGUGGAGAUUUUAUAUCUUACGGAGAGUGUUCAUAUAUAUAUGUUUGUACGCAUGUAUUUUGGCGCCCCGUAUAGAGAUUAAAAAAGAAGAGAAACAGUAUGCAAAAGAGGCGGCGGAUAGUGUGUAUGUGUGUAUUCACAGCAAGCAACUAUAUUUUGCUGCUUGUGAGUAUAUGCAUAUAUGUACAUUAUGUGCUUGUGCUUCUUUCGUGUACGCUUCACUAUAAUAUGUAUCUCAGACUGAGUGUGCCAGGACACGGCUACCUAAGCAUUACCAGAGGGGGGGAGGCACACUCCUCUCUGAGGGGGCGGGUCAUACACACUAGUUCUCACAUCAUGAGUACGUACGUCUG